rfam:Ixodes scapularis strain Wikel colony gcontig_1108379800284, whole genome shotgun sequence.
GUGUUGUAUAGAAGGAGAGACGGUUAGCACUCCCCUUGAUAAGGACGGAAUGGCCUCUGGGCCUCAACACACAUAUGGUUAAGGCACAGCCGCCUACUUCGCGGCACUUAACCACAUUUUUUU